rnacentral:lncRNA from 1 species
AGGACCUGCUCCUCUCUGUGUCAUGGUGGGGAGGUAGAGGAAGGAGGUAGAGGAAGGUUGUUGAGGGCCUGCUCCUCUCUGUAUCAUGGUGAGGAGGUAGAGGAAGGUUGUUGAGGGCCUGCUCCUCUCUGUAUCAUGGUGAGGAGGUAGAGGAAGGUAGGACCUGCUCCUCUCUGUGUCAUGGUGAGGAGGUAGAGGAAGGUUGUUGAGGACCUGCUCCUCUCUGUAUCAUGGUGAGGAGGUAGAGGAAGAUUGUUGAGGACCUGCCCCUCUCUGUAUCAUGGUGAGGAGGUAGAGGAAGGUUGUUGAGGACCUGCUCCUCUCUGUUUCAUGGUGAGGAGGUAGAGGAAGGAAGGACCUGCUCCUCUCUGUAUCAUGGUGAGGAGGUAGAGGAAGGAAGGACCUGCUCCUCUCUGUAUCAUGGUGAGGAGGUAGAG